CCGGGACGUUGAUUUGCAACAACACUUGUCAACGCAUCCAAUUUAAAUUAUGAACGGCAGGAAACGUGUUCCCAACAACUCGGGAUUCUGAACUUAAAUAAGCAGGAAACAAACGAUCAUCCUUUUCACUCCAUCAGCAAGGACUGGCCGCGCAAUUCACACAAACUUCGAGACAAACUGAAGGCGAACAAAUGAGAGCGAAGCGUGAUCAGAUCGAGGGGUAAAAUUCUCAUUUGAGAACUUCAAGCCGUGCUCUCAAGCUACACAAGAGUCCGACACGGGAGGCAGCGCUACCGACACACACCACCACCACGCACACCUGUUGCUCUGCCC